GCCACGCCCGAAGUCGUUACUCCAACCCUUGUGGAGGAGGACGCCGAAGGUGGGGCUGAUGACUGGGGUGAAGUCGUAACAAGGUAGCCGUACCGGAAGGUGCGGCUGGAUCACCUCCUAA
rnacentral:rRNA from 1 species